AAAGUCGUAACAAGGUUUCCGUAGGUGAACCUGCGGAAGGAUCAUUACAGUGUUAGGCUUCGGCCUCAUUCACACCCCUUGUUGAACCUCUGGUUUCUUUGGCGAUGUCAUGGACUCGUCAAACCUUUAACUCUGGGAAUGCGAUACUGUCCGAGUGCAAUCGAAUGAUUAAAACUUUCAACAACGGAUCUCUUGGUUCCA
rnacentral:misc_RNA from 1 species